rnacentral:rRNA from 1 species
UAGGGAAUCUUCGGCAAUGGACGGAAGUCUGACCGAGCAACGCCGCGUGAGUGAAGAAGGUUUUCGGAUCGUAAAGCUCUGUUGUAAGAGAAGAACGAGUGUGAGAGUGGAAAGUUCACACUGUGACGGUAUCUUACCAGAAAGGGACGGCUAACUACGUGCCAGCAGCCGCGGUAAUACGUAGGUCCCGAGCGUUGUCCGGAUUUAUUGGGCGUAAAGCGAGCGCAGGCGGUUAGAUAAGUCUGAAGUUAAAGGCCGUGGCUCAACCAUAGUUCGCUUUGGAAACUGUCAAACUUGAGUGCAGAAGGGGAGAGUGGAAUUCCAUGUGUAGCGGUGAAAUGCGUAGAUAUAUGGAGGAACACCGGUGGCGAAAGCGGCUCUCUGGUCUGUAACUGACGCUGAGGCUCGAAAGCGUGGGGAGCGAACAGGAUUAGAUACCCUGGUAGUCCACGCCGUAAACGAUGAGUGCUAGGUGUUGGAUCCUUUCCGGGAUUCAGUGCCGCAGCUAACGCAUUAAGCACUCCGCCUGGGGAGUACGACCGCAAGGUUG